GAUCUGGACGCUGGCUGGAGAGGCAGGAGGAAGGAGGGAAGGCUAUGGGUGCCCCAAGCUGCUGCCUGGCAGGUCCCCGUACCCAGGCUAGGGAAGUUUGUUAUUUCUCCUGCUCCGACUUCCCCCUUUGAUUUAUUAUAGCCAUGAAAUGCUCUGCUCUCUUCUCUUUUCCUUGCUGUACCCCGGGGUUGGAGGAACACAGGCCUCCCCAGGCCCCAGGAUUCAGCCUUACUGGACUACCAUCUCUUUCCAAGGGCAGGGCAUGGGGACCAGGAAUGAGAGCAGUCCCAGUUAGAGCAGAGAAAGAUGGCUGAACAGAGCUGUACGAGCCUCUGACCGUGGCAUCCGGGAAGCAGAAACAGAAGACCUUGUGUGUGCAUCGUGGCCUGCGGUGAGGGCGUGCAUGCGAGCUAUGCACAUGUGCGGAGGUGAGAGGAGCUCUCAUUUGUGAAUCAGUUCGCACCGUCCACCAGGUGCGUCCCAGGCAUCUAAGUUAGGUUGUCAACGUUGGUGACCUUUACCACUGCGAUAUCUCACUUGACCUGUUUUUGUUUUUUUAACAAACUACAUUUUUGUCUUGUAUUACCAUGUUACAUCCUGGUAAAAUAAUCAAGUUGGAAAUGCUUAAAGUUAGAAAUGCAUUUAGUAAGGGUGGCCAACAGGCUCAGCAGAUGAGGGGAUUCAGUCCUCGGAACGCACACAGUAGAAGAGAACCGAUUCCACAGGGUUGUCCUCCGACCUCCACACUUGGGCUAUGGGACACAUAGCUGCCCCAUCAAACACAACAAAAACACAACGUGUUUUAACUUCAGAACGCAUGUAUAUAAGGCCAUGGUGUUUGCCUUUAGUUCCAGCACUCAGGAGGCAGAGGUAGGUUGAUCUCUGAGAUGGAGGCCAGCCUGGUCUAAAGAGGGAGUUUCAGGACAGCAGGGCUUCCCAGAGAAACCCAGUCUCUGGGUAGGAGAUGCAUGUAUAGGGCUGGAGAGAUGGCUUAGUGGUUAAGGCAGUUUAUUACUCUUGCAGAGGACAAAGAUUCAGUUCCCAGCACCCACAUCAGGUGGCUCACAAGUGCCUGUAACGCCAGCUCUAGAGGAUCUGACAUCUUCUGAUGACUGGGGGAACUCGUACUCAUGUGCAGAUCACACACACACACACACACACACACACACACACACACACACACACCAUAUGUUUACAUCAUCAAC